rnacentral:rRNA from 1 species
UACAGAGGUGGCAAGCGUUGUUCGGAAUUACUGGGCGUAAAGGGCGCGUAGGUGGCCUUCUUAGUCAGACGUGAAAUCCCUGGGCUUAACUCAGGAACUGCGUCUGAUACUGGAAGGCUCGAGUUCGGGAGAGGAAUGUGGAAUUCCAGGUGUAGCGGUGAAAUGCGUAGAUAUCUGGAGGAACACCGGUGGCGAAGGCGGCAUCCUGGACCGACACUGACGCUGAGGAGCGAAAGCCAGGGGAGCAAACGGG